UACAGAGGGGGCAAGCGUUGUUCGGAAUUACUGGGCGUAAAGGGCGCGUAGGUGGCCUUCUAAGUUGAACGUGAAAUCCCCGGGCUCAACCCGGGAACUGCGUCCGAUACUGGAAGGCUUGAAUCCGGGAGAGGGAUGUGGAAUUCCAGGUGUAGCGGUGAAAUGCGUAGAUAUCAAGAGGAACACCUGCGGCGAAGGCGGGUUGCUGGGCCGACACUGACGCUGAGGCGCGAAAGCCAGGGGAGCGAACGGG
rnacentral:rRNA from 1 species